rnacentral:misc_RNA from 1 species
UUUAAAAAAAAAAAAAAAGUAAAAAAAUUCUUGGUUGGAAAAGUAACAGCCAUCCCUUUACUUAACAGUCGGUAACGGCCAUUCUUUUAAAUAACGGCCGUAACAGCAUUUAUGGUUACAAAUUUAACAAUCCAUUAAAUAACCCUUAAACAAGAGCCGUUAUGUAACGUAAUGGUUCUUAUUCAAAAUCAUGCUCUUAAUCAAUGAUCUCCUCUGUUAUCUUCUGUGGCUGCCAUUUAAGGGUUGUUUCAAUAAGUAAAGCUCAUUCUUUUUUUGUCAAUGGCCAUUCUCUGGCAGGUCUAUAUUUGUUUCAGCUACA